AAACAUCCUUAUGGAAUCAUUUGUAGGCUCUGCUUAAACUGUCCGAAUUAUUUCGUUUAGUUUUCUGUGAUCAAGAUAAAGCAGAAAAACGAUUACUGAUGGCUAAUGAAAUAACGAUGGUGGAACAGCGAUGGUGCGGACUGCUUUUCGACUCAAGGGAUAAAGUCUAAAUAAACCUUGAAGAUGUCUAUGAAUCCCUUAUUAAAACAAAAUAUACAUUGAAAUGUAACAAACCGAAACUAACCCAACUAGCUACUGAUUUUUGACUCUCCAUCACGAUUUCCAUAUUACGCAAACAAUUUGCAAGAAGUUUUCGGGGCAAUAAAAUUAAUCUACCAUCUAAAUGAGCCAUCUCCACGACAUGGUCGAGUGCCUUCUGCCCCGGAUUCAGUUGACCAUCCCAAGAGGGCCAGAAACCGCAGAAAACAGAAAACAGAAGCCAACCAAUCUUAGACGGGGAUGACAGUCGGAGAUUUGCGAUUUGGUUUUGAACUCGGACAUAAAUAAAGCGGAGACAAA